rnacentral:rRNA from 1 species
UACGGAGGAUGCAAGCGUUAUCCGGAAUGAUUGGGCGUAAAGCGUCCGUAGGUGGCUGUGUAAGUCUGCUGUUAAAGAGUGAGGCUCAACCUCAUAAAGGCAGUGGAAACUACAUGGCUAGAGUGCGUUCGGGGCAGAGGGAAUUCCUGGUGUAGCGGUGAAAUGCGUAGAUAUCAGGAAGAACACCGGUGGCGAAAGCGCUCUGCUAGGCCGCAACUGACACUGAGGGACGAAAGCUAGGGGAGCGAAUGGG